rnacentral:lncRNA from 1 species
AAAUCAGUUUUUCUCACAUUAAUACUCAUUUAUCAGAAUUAUAGUCUUAAAGAAAUCACUGUGUAUACUCUAAAUUUUUCUUUACUAUACAUUUUAUACCCCCUCCCCUGUUUCAAUUUUUUAAAGAAUUUGAAAACAAGACUUUAAUUAUUGCUAGCUUACCCUAUUUGCAUAUUUUCUGAUAAAAAAUGCCUAGAACCUGUUUAAACAUAUUGAAAGCAUAUCAGAAUACUAUAAAUGUAAUGUUUAGCAGUCAAUCAUUACAACAUUCAAGAUUAUAUAAAGUAUCCAAUCCAGCCUCUGUCUCCAGUCCACAUCUUACUGUAUGCCUAUUUGUCAAUUAAUGAACACCUUUUCUGCCUCAAAUGGUCAAUUUAGAAUUCUUGUCACAACAGUAUCAUCUGUAACCAUAUAUCUGACACAAUUUGGCUAAUAUAUAUACUAGAAGUGUUCAAACAAAG